CUCAUCGGCACCUGGACUCGUCAUCCAAACCCUGCCAUAGUCACGAUUCUGGAUUCCGGUCAGCUGCUGCUUAAUCCUUUUCAGGCAAACUGCCAUUCACACCAGCCUUCCUCCCUGCGCACCUGUAAAGGACUCGGUACUCGCUCGGACCUCGCCUCACCUCCACCUCCAGCUUAUCCCCGCCUGCGAACACUGACCCUGGUCUGCCACAGUUUCCACCUGCCCCACUCCAGCCCUCAGCAGUUUAGUGACCUGACAGUUCCAUGCUUAGCCUAAGCCCAGCACUUCACAGACACCACGCUUGUGCACAAAGUUUAAUCUUGUUUUUGUCUUGAGUAUCUAAGUUAGGAAUUCUUGUAAAUAAAAGUUUUUGCAAAUCA